rnacentral:misc_RNA from 1 species
GAUGAAGAACGCAGCGAAAUGCGAUAAGUAAUGUGAAUUGCAGAAUUCAGUGAAUCAUCGAAUCUUUGAACGCACAUUGCGCCCGCCAGUAUUCUGGCGGGCAUGCCUGUUCGAGCGUCAUUUCAACCCUCAAGCACUGCUUGGUGUUGGGGACCGGCUUGCCUUCAGCGCCUGCCGCCCCCGAAAUACAGUGGCGGUCUCGCCGCAGCCUCCUCUGCGUAGUAGUUUACAACCUCGCAUACGGAGCGCGGCGCGGCCACGCCGUAAAACCCCUACUUUCAAAGGUUGACCUCGAAUCAGGUAGGAAUACCCGCUGAACUUAAGCAUAUCAAUAAGCGGAGGA